UACGGAAGGCAGCAGUGGGGAAUAUUGCACAAUGGGCGCAAGCCUGAUGCAGCCAUGCCGCGUGUAUGAAGAAGGCCUUCGGGUUGUAAAGUACUUUCAGUCAUGAGGAAGGUGUUAAGGUUAAUAACCUUAGCAAUUGACGUUAGCGACAGAAGAAGCACCGGCUAACUCCGUGCCAGCAGCCGCGGUAAUACGGAGGGUGCGAGCGUUAAUCGGAAUUACUGGGCGUAAAGGGCACGCAGGCGGUUAAUUAAGUUGGAUGUGAAAUCCCCGGGCUUAACCUGGGAAUGGCAUUCAAGACUGGUUAGCUAGAGUCUUGUAGAGGGGGUAGAAUUCCAUGUGUAGCGGUGAAAUGCGUAGAGAUGUGGAGGAAUACCGGGUGGCGAAGGCGGCCCCUGGGACAAAGACUGACGCUCAUGUGCGAAAGCGUGGGGAGCAAACAGGGAUUAGAUACC
rnacentral:rRNA from 1 species